AUGAAUAUUUCGUUGACCAGGCCA
rnacentral:siRNA from 1 species